GAUGUUUUAAAGUUUUCUUGUUCUUGUUUAAUGCUAUACCCAAAAAAAUAACCAAAUGAGGAUGAUGGUGAAGAAUGUGUUUAGCCGAAUUGAUCUUUCGAGUUUCGUUACAGGUACAACAGAACAUACGUGGCAACCAACAUUGUCUGCAGAGACAAACAUCCCAAGUUAUUGGCUUAACUGGAGAUUCUUUGUCUGCGCAAUCUUCAUCUUAACGUCCAUGUUUCUAUCUUCUUUCCUCAUUUGGAAAUACGAAGGACCUGUAAAACACAAGGCUGGUGAUCACAGAGAACCGAUAGGAGUUGUAUACGAUGAUGAAAAUUGGAAUACUUGUGUGGCAAGGAUUCAUCCCAAUUGGCUUUUAGGUUUUCGAGUUUUCGUUUUGUUCUUCUUCUUGGACUCAUCUCUGGUAAUGCCUUUUCUGAAGGAUCCAGCAUUUUCAUCUUCUACACAUAGUGAGUUCCCAUUUUUGAGUGGUUACAUCAACAUAUUACACUGUGAAGAUAAGUUACAUUCACUUGUUCUGAUGAGUGUUGAUUGUUCUUAUCCGAUUGACCUUCAUAUUGGUCACAAUCUACUUUGGGGUAUGGCUUUUCUUUACCUAGUCAUGGUACUGCGCAUGCUUUAUUAAUUCAUCAGUAUCAGCUAUAUGUUCUAGAUCCUAAUAACUAAGUUUAACUUAGUUCAUCAGUAAAAUUUAUUAUUAGAUGUGUUUCUAUGUGGAAUCAAAGUGUUAAAUGGGCAACAUUUACAUUGAUGCUUUUAUAUACAUUGAAUUGGAGUUGGUAUAAUGCAGCUUGGAGCCUUGGUGUCCAUAUACAGAUAUAAAUCUGGUGAGAACUGUCUGAACGGAGUCAGAACAGUUGAUGAAGAGUUAGGGUCGUAUAGACCUCCUGUGAAUAGUAAUGUGUUUAAAUCUUCGAACGGAACACAACAUGUGUACUCGUCAAAUUGCAUCGACAUUGGGUUACAUUCAUCAGAUUCUUUUCCAAGCAAGUGUGAGACAACCCGUCUCGCUCAUUCGGAACCCAGCUCACAACCCUGCAGGGCAUCGACCCUAACCCUUCACAUGUGAGCCCUCACUGAGUCUCCCACGUUUCUUUGCAUCCAGCAGUCCCCAUUGUUCAGGGUUUCAUACUUUGUAGUAUGGACCGGUGUAUUCGUGCUAUUCCAAUGGAUUGUUCAUGCUUGUGUCUCCUUUUGGUGGCCACACCCAUUCUUGGAUUUAUCAUCACCAUAUGCCCCUUUAUGGUACGCUACACAAACUUACCUCUCCAUCCCAUAUAUCGGUUAUGAGCACCAAAAAGUAGAGAUCAAACUCAAGUAGCGGUUAUCCAAAUUUUUGCAUUCACUUCUGGAAAUUAGAUAAUGAAACUGAUUCUUGAUCUUGAAUGAUUGACUACAUAGUAAUUUCUAAUUGACCUCGCAGGUAUGCUGCUGUUGGGUUACUAUAUUAUGGUUAGUGACAUGCUUAAAAUUAAUGAUAAUCUUCCUCAAA